UACGUAGGGUGCGAGCGUUGUCCGGAAUUAUUGGGCGUAAAGAGCUCGUAGGCGGUGUGUCGCGUCGGCCGUGAAAACCUGCAGCUUAACUGUGGGCUUGCGGUCGAUACGGGCAUCACUGGAGUUCGGCAGGGGAGACUGGAAUUCCUGGUGUAGCGGUGAAAUGCGCAGAUAUCAGGAGGAACACCCGUGGCGAAGGCGGCUCUCGUGGAACGCAACUGACGCUGAGACGCGAAAGCGUGGGGAGCAAACAGG
rnacentral:rRNA from 1 species